AAUUAGCUGUAUUCUGUAAGGUUUUCCCACCUGGAACAGCCAGGCUCUUUUCUAACCUGGUUACCUGGCACCUUUAGAUUGGGAUCACUCAGUGUGAUAAGAAAACAUUUCUGUUCUUCAUUUGAUACCCACACCAAUGCUUGAGCUCUGCACAGUUCUUGGGUACAUAAGCUGCUCCCUUCAGGUCUGACACAUCCACAGGAUGCUUCUCUCCAUGUCUCUGUGCUCUUCCCUCCAUCUCUCAGCACUCAGCUGCAAUCUGUACCGCUGCUUUUUGUGCCCAUACAAACACAAGUGUGGGACUGUGCUCCUAAUCUGGUUCUGCUUCUCAUAAUUUCUUCUUCUUUCUCAGUCUUUUCUCACGGUUUGAAGUGGAAACGAUGCUCCUCACGUUCUGUCCUUAACUGCUGUCAAGCAUACUUUUCAACUAUGCAUUUCCUGUGGCAGCUUCCUCACCACGCUCUGGGGUUGGCCUGCCCUUUUAGCCCUGGAGUUGGUUGGUUCUUCAUCCUUCUGUCAGCGUUUUGUUCAACUUGUGUGUCGUUUCCCUUCAUCUCUGAGUUGUUUCUUCGCAAUGGAAACUUCUAGCAUCGUUUCAGGUGUUUCAUCGUUUCCUUCUGAGGCUGCCAAGGCCUGGUGAACAGGGCAGGCACCUUUUGAGUCGUCCUGAAGGCUGUGCUCCUGCAAGCCUGCCUUUCUUAUGGAUGGUUGUCAUUAUGGGGCCUUGAAUCUUUCAGUAUUACAUGAAGUUAUUUCAGCCUAUCUGUUGUAAACCCUUUGAGGUAGCUUCAGUGUGGGCUGAUAACUGCAUCUCAAAGUUUCCUUUUUGAAAGGGAGUUCAUCUUGCUCAGUGAUUUCUGGGAGAGGUGUAAGGCUCUAUCUUGCUGCCUGAGCCCCUGCUGUAUCUGAAGGAAGAUUGUCUGAUAACUGCUGGGAUUUACUGGUCAAAUUGUGGGCAGGAAAAAAGAAAGUAAGCUUGUAUGUAUGGCUGUGUCUGGUUCAGUACCCGGGUUGCUAAGAAUUUUGAGGGCAGAAAUGAAUUCUCUUUUAAAUUGUUUGAAUGUUUCUUUUCCCCCAUUUAGAGGUAAGAUUCUCAGACAAGGAGAAAGGGUGAAACUGAUGUCCUUAAACUAAUUUCUUGCAUUAAGCAUGCCCUAUAAACAGUUAUAAUUGGCUCUUAUGGAUUCAGGGGAAUAGCUGAUCUGAAUCGCUCUGAAUCGGAUGGCUUUUAUUUAUAGGCCUUUAUCCUGUUCUCAUUGCCAUAGAGCAUCUCAUGAGGUUUCGCUUCAGGCUGGUGUUGCAGGGCAGGGCUGCAGGAAAGUGCAGGUGCCAGGCAUUGGAGUGGUGCUGCUUGGGCCUUCGUUUGUGCUGCUAAGUCAGAUUUGUCUUUCUCCUGUGUGUGCAGUGGUGUUUGGUCCUUUCAGAAGAAGGACGUGUGUCCAAGUGAAGAAAUUGCCCUUGAUAGUAGGAUGUAGCAGCGGGCACAGCGGCCUCAUGAGCAAAAGCAAUGGGAUGAAACACUUUGCCCACAGCUGCUGCUCAGGUUUGCUGUCAGAGCUCUGCUGGAGUGAGGUGAAGGAACCUGUCCCAUCCGAGUGGGAAAGAAGGGAAAUGUGUUUUCUUUGUUUAAACAAAAACUAGCAUUUUGAAAGGGAAUAAGCGACUUUGCUUGGGCUGCAUUGUUGUUCAAGACAGCUGUUAAACUGGCCUGUAAACAAAUACUGAAGUUAAUUGAGCCGCUGGUAUCUCUAAGCAAUGAGCUCUGUGUUCCUGUGGAACUGCACAAGUUCUACUCUGACAAACCUGGGCUGCCUCCAUUGCUCACUCCAUAGUGAAGCACGGAUGCAGCAGCCACAGUGCCAUGCCCAGGGCAGGCUGCGUGCAGGCAGUGUGGUGCAGCAGAGAGGAGCUGCUAUGCACUGCAUGCCUCCCAGUGCUGUGAGUGCUGCUGUCUGAGGCCCUGUAGGUUGUUGGGUUCCCCAUCCAGCAGGCCAGCAUCACAUCUGUGCCGUCCUGUGAUGCCAGCACCUCUCAGACCCUUUGUAGACUUCUGGUAAUUAUGUGUGUUGGGAUAUAAUAUAUUGAAACUUGUGCUUUUAAAUUAUUUUCAUGCACGGUUCUGCAGAACAAAAGCUGCGAUUCCUUUUAAGUGCUGGCAUUCCUCAGCCUAACGCUUAUCUGCUCUGAAGGGAAGAAGCUGGGCAGGCAAUCUGGCCCUUGCUGCUCUCACUGCUCGCUGUCUUCCCUACCCUCAGGGACACAAUAUGCUGUGUUGGAAGGGAGAGACUGACCCAGAAAGAGAGGAUGUUCUGCAUAUAUUGUUCUAAAAUGCACGGUUUAAAAAAUAAGUAAGUUUAAAGCAACUGAGAACAUAAACCGUUUGACUUCCCCUCCUCCAUCCCAGGGGAGCAGCCUGCAGGAAGCACAGCCCUGCACAUGUGUCUGAGGGUCUCUGUCGUGUUUUGCUGCUGGAGCACACAGGAAAUAUUUUCCUGCUUAUUUAUGCUUCAGCUAAAUAUAACAUUUCUCCACCUCUGGCGCUGCAAUUACUAUUAAACAACGUGGCAAUUGGAGUUGGGUCAUUGACAAAUCUUCCUCUGACACGGAAGUCCCAUUUAAAUUAGUUAAGAUCUUGAUAGCUCUGCUUGUAUAAUGUCAUGGAGGGGACUGCAGGCUGGCCAAGGGAGCAGUGCUCUCCUUUGAAACAUUUAGUAGGCCCAGCAGUGCCUUCUUUAAAGAUGCUCCCAUCUCUUACUCUCUAUUUUUCGCCAGCUGAUGUUUUAUAGUUUUCCUAAUGAGAACUUACUGACUUAAAGGACAUAGUGAAUAUAAAAUGCCUUUUUCUCUCGUGCCUCCUACCAGUUUACUGUAAGGUUUCUUUGCAAAGCUGGCAGCUGCUGUGUCCUCCUCUUGUUGCUUUGUUUCCUGGGGCAUUACGAGUUGUCAGCUUUGGAGUAUUGCUAUCAUGACCAAUGAAGUGCAGCCCAAAGAAGCAGUGGUGGGCAGGUCAGCCCCCCUCUAUUGCCUGCUCACUUUAUUUCAGUGUUGACCCCAGGAUGGCCAUUCAUAGGUUGAAAGAAGUUUUGUCUUGGUACCAGUUUUGCCUUUUCUUAUUCCUUGGGGUGUGAUGCUGCUUGUGGCAUCCCAGAUAGGAAAGUUGCAGCUUUCAAAAUACAAGGUUAAAUGGGAGCAGUGAGUGAAACGGGCACUGCACUGAUCUCCUCUUGAGCUGCAGCUGCACUGAGUUCGUGUGUAGGGGAAAAAAAACUCAUUUAAAAAUUGGGUGAGAUGCUGCAAGGAGUCGCUGUCUGCCCGCUGCGAUCUGUGCUGUCAGAGCAGCCAAGGAGGGCUGAGAGCUCGGGCUGCUGUGUGUAUCUGCUGUUAUUCUGAGCCACUGAAACAUUUACUUAGAGCUGUGUGAAUGAAGGCUGCCAUUCAAACAGGGAUCUGCUGGAAGUGUCUUGGUGUGAGAGGGCACUGACCGAGGAUUUCCACUUCCUUGACAUUAAAUCCUGAGAGAUCUGUCACUGCAACUGCUGUGUCUUGGGGAAUUUCCCGAGACAGAAGAUGGCCUAUGGGCAGCUCAGCUCUGUGUGGCUGCUCGCAGCCUGCAGCUCAGGGCUUCAUCUGCAGUCACAACAAACCACGUCCUCCCAGCACCUUUCGACUCGGCCCUGCUGAGGUAAGGCAGCUCUGUGCAGCGCAGUGCUGCCAGCUCUCGCUGUCCUUGCGAGGCCGUCGUGGGCAGCAGACUUCAGAAAUGCUCCCGUGUUUCUCGAGCUCAGUUGACUCGAAGCUUUCACUGUCUGGCCCCUGCACGUCCUUUUAGCAGUAGGUGUGCACUGAGCUGCUCUUCUUCUCCGAGUGGUGCUUGCUUUAUGUAAGCUGGCCUGGCAGCAUGAAGGCAGCGCUCUUGUCAGCUGCCUGCUCCGAGUCUCUGAGCUGUUCAGUUCAGCCUGGGAAUUUAACCAGAGCCUCAUUUCUGAUUAGUUUGAAUAUCCUUCUAAUUUAUUAGGUAAUGAGAGUAAUGCACGUGUCGUUGGUGUAAAGGGAUCUUGAAAGCAAAGGAAGAAAUAGAUAUCUAUUAGAAGUAGUUGGGAAUUUGGACAGGAGAAACAGAAUUUCUAAUACAUUGGCUGGAAGCUGUUCCUCUGCAGGGUUCUGCUUCAAGGGAUAAAAACUGAUGAAGGCUAAAACCACAUUUGCAUUUCUGAGUUGGGUUGUACAAAGCCAUUAGGUCCCAGAACCACCUACAAAAUGCUGCGCCUAUUGCGUGUGUAACACUGCAGUAUCUGUGCCUUGUGUGUUUUAUCAUUUGGGCAGGCUUCAUAUGUACCAAUAGCUUUUUGCCCAAGUGCAAUUGCUCUGGGUAUGCAUCUUAUCAGCAUUGCUCACUGCAGGCUGAUCAGAAGGCACAGAACGUUGCUGUAGGAUGAGUCAUGCAGUUAAGCAGCUUGUUGCUUCCAUGGUGAGACGCACCCUUGUUGUGUAUGCCAGCAAUCAUGAAACUCCUGGCAAAUACCCUGUGACGUGAACUUCUUAUGGCCUUGGUAAAUGAAAUGCCUGUGGCACUUGCUGGGAUGUGUUUUGUUUGUGCCUGCUCGCUGCUUUUGGGUAUUCUGCUCCUCCUUCUCCCACGGAACUCCUCAGCUGAGACUUCAGUGAAGAAAUUGCAGCAUCAAUGCAGACCAUUUCAGGGUGGAAUUAGAGGGGCACUUAAAGCCACAGCUUUCUAAUGUCUUUGGUUACCUCACGAGAAGUCUAAUCUGUCCUGUUUUGAAAUAACUGUUUUAUCACAGAUCAUCCUGUCCCUGUGCUGAGCUCAGGAGGCGGUUUGGAUGCCUGAUCUUUCCAUUGCCCUGAGGGCAGCACGCAGGGAGUGCAUCUCUGGGAAGUGAGUGUGGGAUUUGUGAUGCAGCUCCUUGUUGCACAGCUCACCUCCAGCCCACAGCCCAGUGAGGUGAGCCAGGAGCCACUAUGAGGUGAGAGGAAGGUAGGAUCUGAAGGGCAGAAGACCCCAAGCUAACUCCUGCGUGCUGUGGAUCCAUCGGGUCAUACGUUGUCUCUCCUCAGUAGGCUCUAAGACACUUGCAGCAGCGGUUGGUGUUGAUGCUGUCUCAUUAGGAGACAAUCUGCAAGCUGCCUCUGUUCGUUUUCUGUAAGUGGCUUUGUGUUGUUAGAGUGGGACAGCCCAGCAGGAGGUCAGGAUGGGCUCCAAGCACAAGUUUACCUUCUCUCUCAAGCACAAGAAGUAGCUGGGUGAGAGUGGCAGCAGGAGGCUUUUGUUGAGGGUUACUGCUUCCACUUCUUGGCUCUCAAGGCCUCCUUAGCAAAAAUGCAAGAGCUGCUGAGCUGGACUCCUUUAUCUUCAAUUUUUAACUGAAUUUCAUAUCUGAGAAAUGGAUUCUUAACGUGGAAAGCUGGUCCUCUUGCAAGGGAAUGCAAUUGUCCAAUUACUCUGGCUGGCUGCUGCCGUGUCCCUUCUGUUUUGAUGUACAGAAUUAUCACAUUUAGCAUUAAUGUGAGAACUUUUAAGACUCGUUCAGCUGGCUUGGUUUACCUUCAGUGGCUAACAUCUGAGAAACGUGUAUAUUAGAUCCCUUAAGAAAAAAAAGGACAAAAAAACACUCCAGGCUUUUCAUCUUUAUGCCUUUUAGCGUGAUGAUGAGAGGGAGGGCUUAGGGCAUGUGCUGUGCAUGUGAAAUGCUGUGCUCUCUGAAGGAGAGCUUUGGAGGUAGCCUGAAUUUUCUUCCUGGUGCAGGACCAGCCCUUUCAUGUUUCUGGAAUAGAGAUUGAGUCUUUUUCUUCUCUAAUCCUUUUUUGUUGAUUGUUUUCCUUUCUACAGCCCUUCUGGAUGAUAUGAAAUAAUUUAAGGACGCAGACCUGGGCUUGCUGUUCAGUGGUUUGGAUUUAAACACAGCGCUUCAAAAAGUGGUAUUAAAGUUACAGGACAACAAGAAUAUGGCAGCUAGUUGAAGUGUGAGCCCAGAAAUGACAGAGUUCUCUUUUGCCUUUUAAAAUUGCAGCAUGGCUGACAAAGACUGAAUUCAUUUCCCAAACAAGCAUUUUUUCUUAUGUAACAUCCAGCGAGUUUUGCUGGGGGGAGUUUCCUCUGCUUUUGUUUUCAGCUGAGUUGUGCUUAGGUGGGGUAGCUAGCUUAGGACUUCAAAAAGAGAAGUGAAACCAAUCAACCCGUUGUCUGCUGCUUUUUGACGUUUAUCCCUUCUUGGUGAUAAUUUUGGUUGGUCUCACAACAAUGAAAAGACAUUCAAGCCUGAACUUCAGCUUUUAAAUGCAUCUCCAGACGUUUGGUUCCCCUGUGGUGUGGGUUGGGUCUGGACGUAGAAAUCUGUGCUCAUGUUAUCUCUGGCUGCUUGUCAGCUGCUGCUGCCUGCUGGCUGGGGAAGCUCCUCAGAGAGGUGGUGCAGAUCGGUUGGCCUCGCUGUGCACCUGCAUCUUAAGCGGAAGGUCUGGGGGCAAAGCAACGAGCACAGCAUGUUUUGAGAUGCCUUCCCUAUAUUUGGGCUUUGUUAUAGAAACUGUCAGCAAGGGAGGCGUUAUCAGCUAGCACUUAGAGUACGGCUGGGAUGGAAGAGGAGGGUGAGCAUUUGUCCCGUGCUCUGCAGAUCCCUGCUCUCAACGUGUGCUAUCGGCUGUGCCGGUCUCCUGCAGCCCACACUUCUGCUCUUUGAAGUGGAAUUUUUCUCUUGUAUGUACACCAGCCACUGCUCCAGUCUGCAGGGAGCUCUGUGUAACUGAGAGGUGUGCGAGUGUGGGGAUGCUGAGAUGGUUAUUUCUGUCUGGCUCUCUUACAAGGAAUGAAGUACGGUUUGAUGUUCUCUUGAGGAGAGGGGAAAGCUUGGUGUCUGGUUAGAAUUUGGCCUGAAGAUGGUUUGACUUAAAAUAAGCUUGAGGAAGUGUUCAUGGCUUGGUUUUUAAACUUGAGAUGCGGCUCAUUUAAAAAUAGUAAAACAAGCUGAGAUUUCAUUAAGUUCAAACUUAGAAGUUUGGUUUCAGGAGAGAGCGUCUGGAUCCAAGGAGGGUUGGUAUGAAGAUGGCCCGAGGGGGAGGCAGUCUGUUGUCAGAACUUGGUGUAGUCGCUGUGAAACAGCACUUCCUGCACGUAUUUGACUCUUCUUGGACUCCGCUCUGAUGUGAAUCCUGCUUUCCCUGCGCUGUGGGAAAUACUGAAAAGCCCCAAAGCUCUCGAGGUGCUUCAGCAGUGGGUGAGCAGAGGGCCUUCCUGCAGGGACAGGACACGGAGGGAUCUUCCAGCUGUGUUCUGAUGGCAGCCAGCUUUGCCAGCGUGCAGCCCUCUGCUCUGAGCACAGCUCGGGCCCUGCAGCUCAGUGCUGGAGCACCACUGCUCAGCCCUGCUCUCUGCCUCAGCCCUGGCAUUGCCCCCAUCACAGCAUCAGGAGGGGAAGCUGCUCCCAAGAGUCUUUAACGCGCGAUGGCGGCUCUGACUGAAAUGGAAUAAUCGUGUUUUAAAGGGUGCUCUAAAGCUUUAUAAAUAUUAAUUUUGUUCUUUUGUUUCCUAAUAAAGGGGUUUGAUUCAUGAAAUCGCUAUUUAUUUAUUAACCUGACAAACUAAUAGCAAGCUCUCUUCUUUCAGUGUGUGCAUGUGCCAUAUCACAAUUCUGCUUGUCACCGUACAUAAGAACUUCAUUCAUCUGCUUUAAAAUGUCAUUGAUAACAACUUGGCAGUGGCCCAGCUCGGAGCAAGUUAACUACAAAAGGCUGCAUUGUAAACCUUUCUGAGAGUACAUGCUACAUUAAGUCUAAAAUUAAAGUACAGCCUGGUCCAGGCUGCAUCUAACUGCCAAAUAGCUUUAAACCUCUGAAAAAGUGGGGCUCUGUGCCUGAAAAUGGGAUAGAUUGGAAUUAAGGCUGCAUUCUGCUCACUUAAACCCUCAAGGUACCGAAUUUAUAGACCUUGUGAAAUGGGAGAGGAUAUCCUAGUGAACCACAAGUAGCAAAAUGAGGACCUGGUUAUUUCCUUUGGUCUCUUCUUUCUUUGACUGAACGCCCAGGAUGAGAAGUGCAGUCUGCAAAUGAGCCUCUGGGAGUGAAUUGAAGUGAUUUUGGAAUGGUACUUUGUGUUGUUUGUCAUAACCUUCCCCGACCCCAGCUGCAGUCUGCUCACCAAACAUAUUUGUUCACCUGUGGGUUCCCUUGGUGCAAGCAGAGUGCCUGGCAUUGCUGUGUGUGUGGUGAGGGGCUGCUGUGUCCGUGCAGCCCGGUUAACCCAGCUUGUGUCACUGCACUAAGUGGAGCAGAGCAUGAGGCUUUCAGGCAUCUUCAUGCCAGGUCUCCUGGGAGCAGUGUGAGCACGUUCUUAGCACCAUGCUCAUCCUAUGCUCUGAGGAUGGGGAUGGCUCGGGCAGUGCAGUGAGGGGCUCUGAAGGGUGUAUGGUCUGAUAGCUGGCAUGGGAACAGCGAGAGCCUUCAGGAAAGCAAAGAGGGGGGUAUGAUUUCAUGCUUCUUCACUUCUGUGGUUUCUUUUGUUUUGUCUCUUUCUGGAGUAUAGCAUAUGGACAGCGCCAUGGGUUAGGGAGCUCUGCGUCUUCAGAGGCUUUUCCUAUAUAGCCUUCCACUGAAGUCAAUGGGCGUGGAGGAGUUUGGGCAGUGGUUUGGCUGAAAUCUGCCCCACCAUCCAGCCUACAGCAGCCAGUCAUCACCAAAAACAAAUUAAACCCUGGCACGACCAUCCUGGAGGCAAGUUGCAUGUGCUGAGCUUCCUCGCCUCCUGCAGCUUGAGGUCAGCAGUAAUUGCAGACUUCCUCUCACGACCUGCACAGAGCGUUCAGGCAGCACAUGGGUGAUGACAGUGAUCCUGGAUGCACCUAUCCAUUGUUUGGGAGACUUCAACACAUUAAGCAUUUACCUGUAGUCAUGAUGGGAGUAUGGCUUAAUUGCUGGUGUCUGAGCAUAUCAAUGCAUACCUGACUUAACAUUUAUUUUUCUAAGCAUGGGAAUUAGAUAACCAGUAUGUCAGCAGAAGGGUUCCUGUGAGUUUACCCCAAAACAGUGUCAUUUUUUUCUCCCCUCCCUCAGUCUUUUCUCCUUGCUAUUGCAUGUUGCAGGACUGCUUGCUCUGGAGAUCCCUGCUGAAUGAGGUCUUUAUUGAACUGGCCAUAACAUUGCUCUUCUCUUUCAAGAAAUACUGCUGCUAGGACAGAGGAAGACACUGUAUCUCACAGGGCUGUUAGACAGUGUUGCCUGACUGUGAUCUGUAACCAACUCAGGAAUUGAGUUGGAAAAAACACUGAGGUUUUGCAUAGGAAGCUAAAGUGAGGAGAAGCUCUUAAAGAAGUGCAGAGCAAGGGAAAAAAGCUCAGUUUGAAGAGCAAGCAGUAGCAAGUGAUAUGGGAAGAGUGCUGCUCCUGUAAGGGUGAGUGAUGCUGCAGAGCAGCCGGGGGGCUGUGUGGUGCUGGCCCUGAGCUCUGCCACCCAGGGCGGUGGGAUCCCUUCCUGCUGCCUGAUUACAGGAAGCUGGCCUGUUUCCAGAGUGAGUUCCUGAAACAUUCUCAGUGGGGAGGAGGUUUGGGAUGACAGAACGCUUAUUCACGCCCAGCAUGUCAGCUACAGCAGCAACUACCUGCAGUGGCUGGACGGUCACCUCCCAGAGGUGUGCCUCAGCCCCUGAGCCCGUGUUCUGCAGCACUACGUCAGCAGCAUCCUUCCCGUGCUGUCUCUGCAAAGUGAUGAAAUGAAUGCCAGCCUUUCCCAGCGGAACACCUGCCCUGCACGUGUCCCAGGGUUGUUCAGAAUGCACACAGGGCUGUGGAUGUGCAGAGCUGAGCUGUACCCCGUGCUGCCCGAGGGCAGGCGAGGAGCCCAGCCUGCCUGCAGCCCAGAGAGCCCUGCCAGUGCCUGCAAGAGGGGGGUGGGGAGGGAAGCAGAUGCUCCUCGGAAGUUCAUACCGUGGUUAAUAAUGUAAUUCACAGAUGGUGGUGGAGGCCUUGAAGAGGCUUUCAUGCAGUACUUACGAGCUGUAAUAGACAGAUCAUCGCAUAAGGGCUCGUAAAUAGAGAUGACUUAAUCCCAAGGAUGAGUCUGCAGUGAUCUGUUUGAUAGUGGCCCUGUGGCUCGCUGUAACCUUCUUAUACAAUCCAAAGCCUUUCGCAUCCCUGAAUGUGGAGCGCUGCCCUCAGACUGGGCCGAUCUCUGAUAACAAUGUCAAGAUAAAAUGCAGAUACAGAUUUGAGAUCUCGAAUGGAAAUGGUUCUUAUGACAUAGAAAACAAAUUCUUUUGUCCUGGUACAGGAAUCAAUACAGGCAGUGCAGGUGUGGAAGUUGCUUAACACAGUGCCUUCCUCUUGAGAAGCAGUUCUGCUUUUAUUUUCCUUUAUAUGGUAGGCAUUGGAAGCAAUGAGUAGCUGGCAGUGCAUCUUGAUGGAUAAGGAAAGGACCAUGCAUUGCAUGUCCUCUUGGGUUUGCUUAUUUAUUUACUUGUUAAGAAGAAGGUCACUCCAUGCUACAUAGCAGAUGAACAAGCUGCCUUUCCAGAGAUCACAAAAAGUAUUGCUUAACUCUCAGUGAAACGCUGCAAGCAUUUGUUCUUGGGGGGCUGACUGUGGAGGUCUUCAGUGAGUGCUGGCUGUGAGCUGUGUAACUGCAGGUCUGUAUUAGGGGCUUCCAAGCUGUUACGAUUACGUUAAAAAACAAAAGUUUUGGGUAAUACCAGAGCUGACCUUGUUGUGCGUGUGCAGCUUGCAUUUCCAAGGGAUUUCCAUAAUAAUAGCUUUGAUUUUUAAUUUUUCCAAGUUGAAAUCAUUUAGUAAAUUGGCUUUUUGUGAUGCUUGUCAUGUGAUGGUUCAUGAGCCCUGAAGAAUGUGCUCCUGUGACUGCAGCCGUGUGUUUGCCUGUACCGGAGCGGGCUGCGCUGUGUUCCUGCUGUGUUUGGAGCUGGGGAGCGAGGCUGGGGGGCUGAGGGCUGCCUCCACAAUGUCUGACAUUUCCAAGCAGCAAAAAAUGCUGCUGAUGAAGUUAUGUGCAGCUUCCAUUCCUGCUGCUGGUGUGUGCUGCUGCGCUGCAUUGCCUGCACCCUUGGAUUAAUCCAGUGGGGUUUUUUUUGUAGCACCUUACUUCCUCCAAGCUGCACCUUGUUUUCAGCUCUCUCUCUUGUACUCGUUGCUUCACACUUCAGGAUUUAGCUUGCUGUUCAUGCUUGCAUUAAAAAACCCGAAGGUUCAAACCCUCGGCUCGCACUGCGUAGCCCCAGCAGUAUUUGCACUUGGCUCAGGAGGUGCAGAUAUGUCAGCUGAGGGAUCCCUUCUCAUUUGGCUGGUCAGCCAAGCUCUCCUCAAGCGCAUUAGGAGGAUCUGCAGCUUAAGUUCAUCAGAGGACUGACCUGUUCUGGUUUUAAUGAGAUUUAUUAUACGUGUACCUUUUGGAUUUGACUGCUUUGGCCUUCAAAACAGCCUGUACAAAUCUGCUAGUAAAAGCAGGGCUGCCGGAAAACUGACUCCUCAUUCUGAACCUGCCCUCCUUCAAGAUUAUGGAUUCCUUUAAAAUUAAAAUACCAUCCCUUGUGCUGCUGGCACGCAGCUUGGCUGCACGGCUUCGCCAAGUGCUGGCAUUGCUGCUUCCUUUCGAGCUCCUGCACAGCUCCCUCCUAGGAAACCGCAGUGAUGGAAUGCUGAUGCUGCAGCUCACGUUUGGGGAGGACAGAGGAAAGCUGGACGUCACAGCUGAUAGAUGGGUCACGGUGUGCAACUUCUGCAGGCAUGGCUGCAGCCCCUACGUGUCUGGGGGAGAAGCAAGGCAGGGCAGUCCUCACAUACACAUGUGGGCAGGGUGUUAUUUGAUCCAGACUGACAUGUGUGGUACAGAUGUGGUUGUGAGCACGAGAUGAGAAGUUACGGUUGCUCUGCACGUAUGUCGACCCGCAGGAUAUCAGCACCCACACGUUUUUCAGUGUGAUUUAUUUGUUUGAAGAAACAAUGUGUGUGGUUGUUUCAGAGGAGGGGGGUGGGUGUUACUGUGUUGUGGAUUUGUUUUGGCCAAACUGUUUGCGUCUGGUACUUUGUGCAUUGGAUGGUCAUGCGUUGCAUGGCUCUGCUUGGCCAGAGCUGCCCCUUAGCCUUUGGUGGGGUUGGGUCUGGGGUCUGUGGCUGGGCAUGUGGGGAUUCCACUCAUCCCACCAGGACUUGGAGAACGUUGCAGUCUCUGGAGCUGGGAAGCAAAGUGUGGUUUGUUGGGCUGUGCUCUGGGUGUUUGCAUGCGCAGCCCUGCAGUCUGCUGAGGUGAAUGCAUUGCUGGGUGUAGCGCCUUUUUUUGUUGUGUUUUUUUUUUGUUGUUGUUAAUAAAUGAAUCUAUUAAUGGAAGCAGAGUGCAUAAUGUAAUCCUAAAAUAGCUCCUCCAUGAAUGCAGAAACAUUCCACUUCUGACUAAUCAGCCAUUCAGAACGAGCAUUUAAGUAGGGAGCAGAGGCUUUCCAUAUCUGUGAUUAGGAAUGCGCUGGGCUCAGCCUUGCACACCCCCCCUCCCAGCCCAUACCUGCUAUCUCCACAAGCACCCUGCUCACUGCCUGCCUGGGGCUGCCCAUCCUGCUGCCCCAGGCUGAAGGAUGAUGCUGAUAAACAGUCCUCAAAACCAGACUGGUGCUUCUUUUGCUCGUGAGUGAACCAGAGCACAAAUAUGUUCUGAGCCCUGGCUGCAGUGCAUGGCCUGGUGAGCUGGGCAGCCCAUGGGCAGUUUGCUUCUGAAGGGGCCGUUUCCUUCUGCCACUUCAAGCCCAGCAAUGCCCUACAGCCAUCUUAUUUAGAGAUGACCUCAAAGGCAAGUUGUGCUCUCCUCCCAAAGCGGGAUUUUCACAGGGGCUUACACUGGUUUAAGAUUGCAUUACCCUAGCAUAGCAUAAACCUGUUUCCUGUUAUCUUAAGGCAGAAAGCAGCUCGGGGAUUUGGAUUGAUUCCUGCUGACUUCACCAAUCCCUAAGGAGCACUUUGCCCCCACCUACCUGCUCCUAAUUUCAGGCAAUCAGAUGUGUCCUUUGCUGUGUUACGUGGCAGGACAGCCUUUGGGAAGCAGCCCCAGCUCCUCAGGUGGCCGCUCACACAGGGCACUGGCCGAAGGGAAGGGAAGGUUUUAACUGGAUUAACCUCAAGAAGAGAGUGUGGGGAUUUAAGGAUUAAGGAGCCCAAGGCAGCCAACAGUCACUGACUUCCAACCUGUGGUCAGAGAGCAGCCAGUUUCUGGGCUGGAGGUACAGCCCCCAGCCUGCAGCAUGCCAUGGAGGUAUUAAGGGCAGUGGUCUUAGGAGCACAGUGUGCAUGUAGGGCAUUUUUCCAAAGGCUGGUGUAUCGAUUGGAAACUGUUCAUAACUGAUGCCUUAUAAGAAGAAACUGAGAGCACUGAGUGCUUAGGUGGGACCUUAAACCUGGCUCUCAGAAGAUGUGUAGGCGCUCACAGCUCUGAGGACAUCUUUCAGUAGGCUUCAGCUCUUCCAGCCUCCUGCAUCCCCAGCCUUUGUCCCAAAGCGUUUCUCUCAUCCCAUGUAUUUUUCUACAGAUAAUGCUGUGCAUCCCCUGGAAGAAGAUCCUGGUAGUCUGCAGGGUUGGUGGAAGAUGAAGGGGGGGAUCAGCACACCCUGUUACUGGGGAGAGCGCAUGGUUGCUCUGCUGAAGGGACAACAGAUGGCACAAAGGAGCUGGGAUUACGCAGCUGAGUGCUGCAGGGCCACAAAUCUAACGGAUCUGUUGAACUGCAGGGGUCAGGCAAGCCCAGCCUCAUGCCAAGGCUGAUGUCCUUCUCCUGCCUUCAGCACAGCGCGUGUGUUUGAAGCUGUUCUGGGCAGCACGUAGGGCUGUGACGUCUGGAUGGGAGAAUGGGCAGCUGCUUCCAGCUUCUGACACAGCCUGGCCUUUGUGGCACUGUGGUGUUUCACAGAGGUUUACAUGUGAGGAGCGAUGCUGCCAGCUGUGUGCCACUUACCCAGUGUUUGGUCUUUGGAGGGAGAUGUGGGGCCGAGCUGCCCUGCCUGCCUGGAUCAACCAGCGAAGGUGAGUGUAUCCUGGCCAAAGACAAAUAGCACCAGGUCGCUUUGCUGGAGUCUCAUUAAGAUCUGUUUUUCUCAACUUUCAGCCUCUGGAGAGAGAGAAACAGGACAUUGGUUCGUUAACAGAUGAAGAGCACUGGAUAGCUGCAGGAAUUAAGAGCUGGACAGCAUUGCCUUUUUUGUUUCCCCUCCCACAGCAGUUUGGACAGAUACCCAAAUAAACAAUAACAGAUUUUUGGAGGAGCUGGCUGGGAGAAAUAACAAAAGUCAAGGGACGGUCAUUAUGCAUCUCCGUUCUUCUCAUGUUUGACUACUCUGGAAAGCCUCCUGUUACUCCUCAGCUUCAUUUUCCUUUCUCAUCUUCCCUCCACCCCCAUUGCACGAGGUGCCAUCGUACUUGCUGCUUGAGGCCCAAUCUGGACGAAGUUUGUGUAAAUCCCUGAACUCCAGCAGAAAGAUGAAAGCACUGAUAAGGAACUUGUUUUUUCUUUCUCCGGAGCAAGAGCACAAUGUCUUUGACCUAAAUAUACCAAUUACUGAUGCAGCAAAGUGAUACAGAAAACAAUCUGGAAGGAAUGCCAACCUCUGAAUGAAAGCUUGGCUGCAGAGAGCGGCUGCGUAUGUGGGGCCUCAAGCACGGAAGAAAUGUGAGGAGGAAAAGGGUGUUCAUUCAAAACGUAUCAUACAAAUAGUGAUGGGAGAGGGAGAAACUGCUGGGAAAGCUGCUGCUCUGCCCCGUCCCCGUGUCUGUGGAGAGGUAGGAGCGCUACACACAGCACCAUGCAGCUCUCCCCUCCCCUUCCCUGGCCUACUUUGCUCAGCUCAGCUGUCUAAAGCACUUUUAUGUCAAACUCGAAGGCUUCCUGGCAGCAGCUGCUAUUUUUAAAGCGUUUGAUGGCAAAUGUAAGUAUUUCAAAAGGUGGCUAUGAGCUUCUCCUCUGCAGCGUAGGGGACUCCAUUAAUUAGUUUUAUCGUUUUCAAUAGUGGUUAAGGUUAACCUCCAGAGACUGGGGGGUUCUGAAGAGCACUGGUUUCUGUUCAGCCCUGAGACCCGUCCUGCGGAGGGGAGCCCUGGCUCCACUCUCCUUAUAUCUCCUUGUAUCUCCUUAUAUCACCACUCUGCUUAUAUCAGCUCACAUAAAUGCCUGCAGCCUGCAGGAUGUCUGUUCUGCAGGUGCAGCUGUGGGCUCUGCCUGCCCAUGGACUGUUGCUGUGGGCAGAUCCCCAUGUACAGCACAGCGGAGUGCUCCCACACAAAGUCAGCCUGGAAGCUGUGUUAGUUCAGCAUCCCCAUCCUGCCCUGGAACUCCUGCUGGUGAAUUUGGGUGCACUCUCAGGCUUCCUACCCCAAAAAGGGAACCUUUUCUCGGCCCAGGUUUUCAAGUCAGUCCUUGUUUCCCUUUACCAGCCAGUGUUGUUGCUGGCACUUCAGACUUACUGCAAAUGUGGCAUGUGUGGGCUUUAUGUGAACACAGUUUAUUUAAGAGAUUGAUACAACUCUGUAUGAAUGUCUCUGCUGCAGAAAGAUGCAAUAGAUAAUUGGCAAUCUGACUCAAAUGUCUGUGUCUUGU